CCCUGGGAACAAAUGGGAGUGGCAGGAACAGUGCUCUUCAUACACAGAAACACUUCUCUUUAAUUCAGUGUCACUGACUUCGGUGACAACUGUAUUUGGUCACAAAUGCCCAGGUCUGCUUAAAAAAAUUACUGCUUAAAAAAAUCUCCUUUAGUUCUUAGUCACACAGGCACAGAAGCAGCAGACUUGUAUAGGUGUGUCCAAGUGUUUGGCGCUGAACACUGUUUUGUCUUCAUAAGCAGCGGCUGUUUUUAGAGCAGAAUCACAGAUUUUUCAGGUUGAGAGGGACCUCUGGAGAUAUCCAGCCCAACCCCCUUGCCAAGGCAGGGUCACCCAGAGCAGGUGACACAGGAACGCGUCCAGGUGGGAAGAUUUCAAAGAGAUCACUGUCUGACAUCAGCACGUUUCUACACCCGAUUUUAACAAACAGGAGUUCAUGACAAUGCUGCCAGCAGCAGGGCGCCAGGUCCUCGAGGCAGCACCUGUUCCUGCUUUGGGAGACCCCCACACCGUGCACUUGGGCUUUAACUCUAAAUCAGGGAUUAUCUGGCCUCGUUUCAAAGUCUUUAUUCCAACAUGUGUACCCUUUGCAUUUUUCACAAGAAAACGAAGAUAAAACAAUCAAGUUGCGAAGUAGCUUCAUCUGGGUAGAACAGGGGGCCCUCAUACGCUGAAGCCCUGGCUGAGGACGCUGAGCGCUGACGGGCUGCGGCCGGAGCCCGUGUGGGGAGCUGCGAUUUUGCCCGAGGAACACUCGGGCCCACGCACGGCUCUUGUGCCCGAGAAGCCGCACCGCGGGGCAGCGGAGCAGCCGGCCCACGGCAGCCCAGGCCCAGAGUAGGCGACGGCGGCUCCCCCCUCACGGCUCCAACGCUCACCCGGGCCCCUCUCCCCGCCCUGCCACGUCACUUCCCGGGGCGGCCGCAGCCGCCGGGUGUCAGCGGCCGUGCUGUGAUGGCGGCGGCAGCCGCGGCUCGGGGCGCCGGCGGGGCUGUGCCGCUCCUGACUCGGCGUGGGCCCCGCGCCAUGGGGAGCAGCCGCGGCGGGCGGCUGGCCUGAGGCGGCGGCGGCCACAGCGGAGGGAGGGCGCGGCACUGCCGAGGGAGCCCCGCUGCGGGGGCCGCGACCCGCUCCGCCGGGGAUGCUGCGCUGGGUCCGGCAGCAGCUGGGUUUUGACCCACCGCAUCAAAGCGACACAAGAACUAUUUAUAUAGCAAAUCGUUUUCCCCAGCAUGGCCAUUAUGUUCCUCAGAAGUUUGCAGACAACAGAAUCAUAUCAUCUAAGGUAAGGAAUCAAUUUGUCAUGGCAAAACCACUUGAUGUGUUACUUAGGAAGUCGUGUGGCAGAUGUGCACAUCUGUAUUAUGUCUAGUGGUGCAUAUACAGUAUUCAAAAUGAAACAAGCUCUGAACUGUUUUGAUGGAAAAGCUAGGUUGCUUCAUAUGUGGUUUGUCUCAUUCUUUCACCCUUCUUUCCUCAAAACUCAAGUACAGAGCAGUUAAGCAAGUUGGUCAGGCUUUCUGAAGAAAAGUAGUUUUUAAACCACUGUUGCC
rnacentral:lncRNA from 13 species